CGUGAUGAAGCCAAACCACUGUCGGUGGUAGAUAAAGCUUUGCCGAUUGAAAAGUUUCAUUGCCCUGUAUCGUUCUACACGGCAUUCAAAGAAAUAUCUGAUGACAUCAAGUCCUACCCCGCACUACAGUUUGGUGAAGUGAAAGUGCGCAGUCAGAAAACGGAGAAAACUGGUCGCAAGCGAAGGGGUCGUGAUGAAGCCAACUCACUGUUGGUGGUAAAUGAAGCCUUGCCGAUUGAAAAGUUGCAUUGCCCUGUUUCAUUCCACAAAGAAAUAUCUGAUGACUUCAAGCAAGUCUCCGUCACCCUGGAUGUGGAAACAGGAAAUCCGUGUCUCGAGGUGUCUGAG